CAGCUGUAAACAUCAUUUUCAAUGGUUUGCAUAUUUAUUUGUAUGGAUGGUAAUUCAUUUAGCUUUUUUCUUUUGUUAUAUUUUUGAGAUUGUUCCCUUCUCUUUUUAAAAUCGUAAAGCUGCUCUCAACAUCUUUGUGAGUAUACAUUCUUGGCUAAGUCAGGAUUCUGCCUAUUAGGUAUCCCGACUUACCAUUAUCUGGUGCCUUUUUUUCCAGGGCCAUUUCCCUUAGAGCCCUGUUUAUCUCUAUACCCUCUCAAAUGGCUUUCUUUCUUUUCUUUCUUUUUUUUUUUUUUGAGAGAGUCGCGCUCUGUUGCCCAGGCUGGAGUGCAGUGGUGUGAUCUCGGCUCACUGCAACCUCCACCUUCCAGGUUCAAGUGAUUCUAAUGCCUCAGCCUCCCAAGUAGCUGAGACUACAGAUGCGUGCCACCACACCUGGCUAAUUUUUGUAUUUUUAGUAGAGACAGGGUUUCACCAUGUUGGCCAGGUUGGUCUUGAAUCCUGGCCUCAAGUGAUCUGCCCACCUCAGCUUCCCAAAGUCCUGGGAUUACAUGUGUGAGCCACUGCGCAUGGCCCCAAAUAUUGCUUUCUUUUGUGACCCAGGGAAUGCUGCUUUCAAAGCAAACUGGUGUUUCAAGUGUUAAAACUGGACCGAGUCAAAUAGUUAGGGAGUAGACGAGACUUUAUUGUGUUAUAUGUGUCCUGAGAGCUUUAUAUACAUUUUCUCAUUUCAUUCUUAAAAUGACUUUGUGUGAGGCAGUUUCAUGUUUUCACUUUACAGAGAAGGACACAGGCUCAGAGAGGAUGAGUAACUCACUGAAGGUCACACAGCUAGCAAAACACAGAGCUGGGAUUUGAAUUCAUGUGUGCUGUGCCCUAAAGCCUGCAUCUGCUAGAGGGUGUAGACAUAGGCUUUAGAAUUUUUCAGCAAUAAAUUUGAAUUCUGAAGUAAUUUGAUAGAAGCCAAAAUAAUGGUGUGCUGGUAAGACAGGUCUCUAGAAAAAUGAAAAACCAAAAACCUGAUUUGUAGUGUUUCCAAUUUCUGUGGUGUAAAUACUCCCACCAUAGCUAAUUUCAAGCUGUCAAUGGUUUCACAAUCCACUUCCAGAACUCCUGAGUAUAUAACGAUCUGGGCAAGCUGAUACAGAUGCUUCCUUUGUCCUACUGGCCAAACAGUUAAUUACUUACCCAGUGCCAUGUGUUUUUUUGCACUCUGUGUUCUGGUAGGUUAAAUAACUAAAAAUGGUGUACUCAUUUCUAAGUGAGACAGCUGUACACAUCUAUAAAGUCUCUCUAAAAAUCAGAUUUCCAUGGCAUCUUUGAAGUUUUCUAAAGUUCAGUGACUAUUAGGCAACGUAUCUUCCCACUACUGAAGUCGAUUUAUUUUUUUUCACAUGUGAGUGACUUUCAGUGUUUGUGACUAACUCUGGGAUUUCAGUCUUUCCCCAAGGAUUAGAAUUAAGAUCAAGAGACAGGCUAGUGAUAAAUUGUUAGGAUGUGGUCACAAACACAAAGCUAAUUCACCAUGUCUGUGUUCUGUAGAUUAGACUAUCAGCAGAAUAUGUAAUUAGAACCUGCUAUAACAUUGUUUUAAUCAAUGAUGGAAAUAUGAGGUAAGAUAAAUGUGCAGAAAUUACUCCUAGGACUCUCCAGCACUACCGGGGGAAACCACUUAAGAAAAUCCAAAUGGUUUAACAGUAGCAGAGGAAAGUGCUUCCAUUCCCAAAAGUGGCUUCAGGAAACCAGCCGAAGCCAUCAUCUUCCUUCAAAGCCCGUGGUCUGCCAUACCUGAACCUUUCCACCAAGGUUGUGUGAUGCUUGAGUCACUGCUGAAGCCAUUUGCAGCCUGUCGAAUAUUAUAUAUUUUUGUUUGUUCGUUUGUUGUUGUUGUUGUUUUAGAUGGAGUCUCUCUGUUGCCCAGGCUGGAGUGCUGUGGCACAAUCUCAGCUCACUGCAACCUCUGCCUCCUGGGUUCAAGUGAUUCUUGCACCUCAGCCUCCUGAGUAGCUGGGAUUACAGGUACUGACCACCACGCCCGGCUAAUUUUUUUUGUAUUUUUAGUAGAGAUGAGGUUUCACCAUGUUGGCCAGGUUGGUCUCGAACUCCUGACCUCAAGAGAUCCACCCGCCUCGGCCUCCCAAAGUGCUGGGAUUAUAGGCAUGAGCUACCACGUCCGGCCUUGAAUAUUGGUUUUAUUCCUGCCAUUUAGGGACACUAAAUAAUUGUCACAAUAUACUAGUGACCAGGAGAGAGGGUCUGGGGAUGAUCUAUACAUUUGUGCAGUGACUUUUUGGUGGCUGAAAAAACAGAGAGUCGAGCACAAUCUUUGAUUACUUAGUCUUAGCUGGAGGAUUUGUCAGGCAUUGUCUGAUAGGUGGAGGAAUCUGCAUCCUUAGACUAGGUAGGAGGUAUUCCCACUUUGUUGGCAGUUGGCAAAGAAUGGUGGCUCUCUCACUGUUGUCAUUCUCAUUCUGAUUAGCCACCUUAUUAAAAGAGGAGUUCAGGGAACUCUAGCUGGACUUUUAUUUCAAGGGUGUUUUCCCAGCCUGUGCUGAUAGAUGCUCAUGGGGUUGGUUGUAGUCUUCAGACGCAAACAGGAUCUUAUUGUUUCCACUGGGGAGCAGCAUGGGUGAAGGAAUGGAUUGAAGUGUGUGUCAUCUUACCUUUCCUACCUGAAUCUGAAUCUGUGUUUGAAAAACAAAAUAAAACAAAACCCAAAAUGAAACAGAAAAACGUUCUGGUACCACCUAGGCAGCUAUAUCCUCUCAAAAACACUCUGUAAUUUGCCUGGGUUUCCUCUGAAUUGACCCAGGAUGACUGCAAUCUGCUUUCCAUCAUCUGAAAGGUGUGGCUAAUUAGUGCUUGUUCUCUGGAAGCCUCUCCUCUCCUAUUACACUCUCGAUCCUGUUUUUUUUAAGCAAAAGAAGUCAGGAGAAGGUUGUAGGCAUUGGCUCAAAUACUCCCAGGACUUUAUGGAAUGCAUUUCCCAUUUACUAUCCAUUUCAGUGCUUACACUAUGCUGGGGGAAGCUGAGCUACAGCUUUACCUUGCUUAGUGAAUAAAUGGCUAUUUCUCUGUGUUAAUGGUCUGCAUGUCUUAUUUCAUAGGUCAUGGGAAUGGGAAAGUACAGCUCUGUCGUUGACUUGAUUGCUUUUGUCCAGCCAUGAGAAACACUCUCAUCUCUGUCCCCAAUCCCCUAUUAGUGAAAAAUCCCCAAAUGCACUAAUUCCUCCCUCUCCUCAAAAACAUUACAUUGUGAUAGUAGAAAAUGUGGAGGGGUGGGUGUGGUGCUUCGACAAAAGGGAACCACUGAAGCCUGGUUUCUGCUUGCAAAAUGCGUAGUCCAGUUGAAGGGACGUGGAAUCAUUUGGGGAAUCAAGCCUGCUCUAACUCUUGGCUCCCUGGACCGUGUCAUCAUCUGGACGCCAGAUAAAAUACAGAUGUUCAGCUAGAAACACAGCACCAGACCAUUUUCCUUUUGGCUUGCACUGCCUCUUAAAUGCCUGAAUGCCAAACAAACUCAUUU
rnacentral:lncRNA from 1 species